rnacentral:rRNA from 1 species
AGCGAACGCUGGCGGCAGGCCUAACACAUGCAAGUCGAACGAAGCCUUCGGGCUUAGUGGCGGACGGGUGAGUAACACGUGGGAACGUGCCUUUAGGUUCGGAAUAGCUCCUGGAAACGGGUGGUAAUGCCGAAUGUGCCCUUCGGGGGAAAGAUUUAUCGCCUUUAGAGCGGCCCGCGUCUGAUUAGCUAGUUGGUGAGGUAAUGGCUCACCAAGGCGACGAUCAGUAGCUGGUCUGAGAGGAUGACCAGCCACAUUGGGACUGAGACACGGCCCAAACUCCUACGGGAGGCAGCAGUGGGGAAUCUUGCGCAAUGGGCGAAAGCCUGACGCAGCCAUGCCGCGUGGAUGAUGAAGGUCUUAGGAUUGUAAAAUCCUUUCACCGGUGAAGAUAAUGACUGUAGCCGGAGAAGAAGCCCCGGCUAACUUCGUGCCAGCCGCCGCCGUAACAC